ACUGGGGGCAAGCCCCCCACACACUCGCUUCGUUCGUGCGCAAACCCCCACUCGCUACACUCACCACUGUCACGCCGAUAUGAGUAAGAGUGUAUUUCAAAUGUUGCCCUGUGCAAAUGUUCUGUUUUUAGUUCUGUUCCAUGUUGCUGGCGAAUGUUGCACAAUCCGCGCAGCAUGUUGCUGGAGAAUUUUUUGUAAGCAAAAGUGGUCUCACUUCAUUCCAUAGAUAGAAGAAACCUGCGAUUGGAAGUUUUUAUACCUUAUGUUCUUCUUUACACCUUUAAAAUAAAAGCUAAUGGAAUGAUGAAAUUGUUCAAAUAUAUUUGUUCUCAUAGAUAAUUUUAGAACGGAACUUUGGCGAACAAAUAGCUAACUUAUGUUAACAUUUCAACAUUUUCGUUCUCUUGGCCACAGACAAGAGAGAGAAAAUAACAGCGGGCGUGUGUGGAACGUAUUGUAAGCUGUGGCAUGUGGAAGCCAGACUCUGACUCGGACUGGGACACGGAAACCCCCUCCCCAAUCCCUCCACUCAACACAGUCAAAUGCCGGCUACGAAAUGCUCAAAACGGAAGUGGUCGAUGACGUGCACUCGCUGUUACCGCACCCACAACAACAACCAUUUUGUGGACCCCAUAUCUUUAUCUGUUGUGGACCAAGUGUUGCAUGCUCUUGCCUUGCUACUUGAGAGACGGAGGCAGCAACGUUGCCAAUUUUCAUGCAGAUGCAAAAAUGUUUCUAAAACCCAACUUUUGGAUAACUCCGAAAGUUCAUUGAUCCACAGAAAAAACUGCGUGAAAUAACAUCUGCUCAAAUAUAUGCUCAGGCCACAGCGCACGGGCACGGGUAGUGGGGGUUAUCUAUGCCCCUGUAUUGUCACUCGUCUGUGGCCCUAAAAAUUAUAACACAAAGGCAGACGUAAGGAAUAAAAAUCAAGCAAAUUAUGGUAAAUACGCCUUAAAAACGGAUCACGCACAGAAGCAAAAGGGGUUGUGGGAGAGAGAGAGAGAGAGAGAGAGAGAGAGAGAGAGAGAGAUCUAUCUCACAUAUGGAAAGCAGGAGGUAGUGGUAGACCACUUACUUCACCGCCUACCGCUAACCUAUUAAGGCUUUCUUCGUGGAAUCGAACGUCGAACCAGUCACAAGUUAAAUAGUUAACUAAUUUAACUAUUUCUUUGGAAAAGUAUCAUAAUACUAUGUACUAUACAUAUGUACAUGUAUCUGGAAAACAAAGAAAAGAGCUUCACAGUUAAAAAGUUAAUUUUGAAGAGCUUCAUAUUGAAUAACAUCAGCUAUUUACUUUUAUAUUUAAUUCGAAAUUACCUUUUAACUCGUAGAAAUAGUAUUUGUAGUCACCCGGUAGCUAGUGAAUUCACCGAUGACUGGAUCUAGAGGGAGUGACACACACACACAAACAAACAGAAAUGGAUAGAGGCAGGAACGCACACAUACAUAUGAACACACGCACUUCCAGUUAAUUAAAAGUAUUUAUGACACUCCACACACAUAAAAAGAAAAUAAAAACUGUCUUGCGCAAAAGUACAAAAGUCCAAGCCAGGAUCGUGGGAAGUUCUCUCCCUCCCUCGAGGGAAAAAAAUCCAGCCAUAGAGAUACUCUAAUUGCAUAUGCAGAGUGCAGAAAGAGCGGAGCGGCGACAUAGGCAUCGGAGGAGCGACAGAAGAGCGGCAGCAGAGCCAGAUGGAAGGGGCCAAAGUUCCACUCUUCAGGGGUGGGGUUGGGUUGUGUGUGUGUGUGUGGUGUGCUGUGCUGUGGUGUGUGGGGUGGAGGGAGUGCUCUGAUUGUCGUCUGGUCGGGUUUAUGAGAAAUGCGAAAAAAAUUACACUCACGGUGUCACUGUCUUGUCUCUGUCUGUUUGUCUCUCUGUAUGUGUGUGUGCCUCUGUCUCAGAAAAAGUCUCAGCCUUCCCCAAAAGGAUAACAUCCUUAAGUUCUUGCCAGGCAGACACAAAAAAAAAUAUACAUAUAUGGGAACACGGACAAAAAAAAAAUCGAAAAAAAAACAUUAAUAGAAAUUGAAAACAGGAAAGGAGAUUACGUUUGAGAACGAAAAAGGCAGAAGAGAAGGAUGGAAUGGAGAGAGGAGUGAAGAGAAGGAAAGUGUGGACAGACAAACAAAACUGAUCAGGCAUUGGAGACUAGGAAUAUUAUAGAAAAUAACCCAUAGAGGAAGUUCCUUACUACUGUAGCUCCUUAGUAGUUGCUUUGGAGAGUUUGUAGACAUGGAAAUGAAAGAAAAAUGCUCUGAUCUUUUAAGAUUCUUUCCAGAGUGUGGACUGAAACGCUGGAAUGCUCAGGUUCUCUGGGGAGUUCCCAACGUAGAAUUUGAGGGAAAGAACACAUUUUGUACUCAAACGAUAAUGAAAUUCAAGAGUUCUGUGGAAUAUUCUGGUAUCGCAGAAAGUGGGUAGGGAUAAAUGCUCUGGAGAGAUUGUAGAGUUCGAGUCGGAAAGAGAAAAUGGAGGAAAUAGUAACGGAAAUGUCUGUCUGGAAAUGGUGAAUAAAAUGUAAAUUUAAUGCAAUAAAACGUUACAGAUGAUUACGGAAGUUGAAACCUUUAUUGGAUUUUCGAUUAUAAUCAAUUUGUUUGUAGCUACCAGACGGAUAUUGCCGGCAGCUUUUCCAAGACUUGCAGGACACGGAAAGAAGAACGGGAGAGAAGGACCCGAAGGAAUUGGCGUCAGGCCUUCAUCAGCCUCCUCAGCGUCGCCGUCGCCAUCGCCGUCGUCAACGUCAACGUCAAACCAUGCAGACAGCGCGACAGCAGCAGCAGCAACCCCUUCACCGUUGCUUUUGUGGGGUGCAAGGCAUUUUUUCAGCCUUCCAGUCACACAGUCACCUCCCCCCACUAAACGCUUCCCCACCAAACCAUAGAGAGACGUCUACUG